GACGAACGCUGGCGGCGUGCCUAAUACAUGCAAGUAGAACGCUGAAGGAGGAGCUUGCUUCUCUGGAUGAGUUGCGAACGGGUGAGUAACGCGUAGGUAACCUGCCUGGUAGCGGGGGAUAACUAUUGGAAACGAUAGCUAAUACCGCAUAAGAGUAGAUGUCGCAUGACAUUUGCUUAAAAGGUGCAAUUGCAUCACUACCAGAUGGACCUGCGUUGUAUUAGCUAGUUGGUGAGGUAACGGCUCACCAAGGCAACGAUACAUAGCCGACCUGAGAGGGUGAUCGGCCACACUGGGACUGAGACACGGCCCAGACUCCUACGGGAGGCAGCAGUAGGGAACCUUCGGCAAUGGACGGAAGUCUGACCGAGCAACGCCGCGUGAGUGAAGAAGGUUUUCGGAUCGUAAAGCUCUGUUGUAAGAGAAGAACGAGUGUGAGAGUGGAAAGUUCACACUGUGACGGUAUCUUACCAGAAAGGGACGGCUAACUACGUG
rnacentral:rRNA from 1 species